rnacentral:rRNA from 1 species
UACGUAGGGUGCAAGCGUUAAUCGGAAUUACUGGGCGUAAAGCGUGCGCAGGCGGUUUUGUAAGUCUGUCGUGAAAUCCCCGGGCUCAACCUGGGAAUUGCGAUGGAGACUGCAAGGCUAGAAUCUGGCAGAGGGGGGUAGAAUUCCACGUGUAGCAGUGAAAUGCGUAGAUAUGUGGAGGAAUACCGAUGGCGAAGGCAGCCCCCCUGGGAUAACACUGACGCUCAUGCACGAAAGCGUGGGGAGCAAACAGG